GACGACUGCCGUUCAGCACCUGCGUAAGCACCUCUCGGCCAGGGUGAGGCCAAUGGAGUAGGCGGGGCAUUUUGCGUGCUACAUUCUAAGAAGUAUUGGUUGUGAUGUGAUGGGAAGAACACAGUCAGUCCUGUAUACAGCACUAAAGCUGAUGAAUGAUCUAUCUUACACUAGCCAAAGUGAAGUCUGAAAGAUGUGAAGAAAUGCAGUACAUUUGUACAUUGGCACAUUGCCCUGCAGAGGACUGGCAACACUCCAGAAAUGAUGGAGACAGGAUACAUCAACCUGUAUCACUGAAGAUGAUGUGGAGCAGAGCCUUUGUGGUCCUAAGAAACAUGUAUAAGAUAAAAACUUUUGUGGUUUUUCAAUCAUUUGAGGUUUUAGGAUUGUUCAUUGUAUCAACACAACUUGCCUAUUCUGACUGCUAAGGUUGUUCACUGGGUUAUUCAUAAAGGCAAAAUGAGGUUGUGAGCCACAGAAAGAGAGGACAGGAUGGUUCCAUGGUGUCCCCAGCUUAUUUUUUAUUGUUUCCUGUUUAUUGAUCUCAUCCAUUGGAGAACUCCAUGAAAGCACAUAUCUAUGCCACACUCACCACUGUAUUAUAGAACUCAAAUGUCGGUUGCAUGAAUAAAAUAUGUAACAGGAAGGCCACUAUACCUGGCCCUGACCAAUUACAAAUUUAGUUUUUCAUGAGGUUUUUUAAAGGGCAUCCAGCACACCACAGAACCCUGUGCACAACAAACUACCCCCAAAGUUAGCGGCUUAAAACACUUUCUCCCAAUUCUGAAUUCCGCUGGGUCGUUCUGCUUAGUGUAGUAUCUACUAAGUCUGGGACAUCCCAGAUAAUUUCUUCAUGCAUGUCUGGUGCUCAGUUGGCAUGUCUGAAAAAGCUGGGUUUGGCCAGACAUCUUUCUGUCCACCUAGUUUCUCCAGCAGAGUAACCAGACCUCUCUACACAGUAGCUUAGGGUGCCAAGAGCAAAUGUUCCAAGAGGGCAAGCCCUGAUGUGCAAAUCCUUAAGCCUCUGCUUGACAAAUGUCCUCUGGGCCAAAUCACAUCGGCCCAGAGUCAGUGUGGGAGAGGACUAACUACACAAGAGUGCAAAUACCAGGUAUGGUUCAUGGGGGCCCCCAGUGUUAACAGUCUACCCAAUCUGGUGAUCAUAAGGCAGACAACUGAAGUCAUGAUGCUUCGUUUUACAAAUAAAAAAGCAAAGGCUCAGAAAUGAAAUCACUUGCCCAGGAUAACACAUGUUGUAAAUGGAAAACAAAUAUUUGUUUACUGGUAAUAAGUCAAAGGCUAGUUAAGCCUUUCACUAUAUCUCAUUGCCCCUAAUCUUUAAACUCCACUUUCCUUUUCCUUAUUCUUAGCCAACUGUGAAUAUCUGUGUUCAAGAAGUUAACAAUGUAGAUAAUCCAAAAUGAAGUGUGUUUUGUAGCAUUAUCUGAGCAGUAGAUAUUAGAUGACUAAUGUAGUAUGCUCUGGAAACUCGUAACAGUUCAAAGGAAAUAAAGCCAUUUUAUAAUGAAACCACUUUAAAAAUCCUCCACUGUUUUCAUCUUCACGAGAAUGACAAAGCACCAACUUAAAGUAAACCAACUCUUUCCCCUUCUCUGAGCUUGCUGUAUUUCCUAAGAAGGAAGGAAAAAGUCA
rnacentral:lncRNA from 1 species